UACGAAGGGAGCUAGCGUUGUUCGGAAUCACUGGGCGUAAAGCGCACGUAGGCGGAUUUGCCAGUCAGGGGUGAAAUCCCGAGGCUCAACCUCGGAACUGCCUUUGAUACUGGGGAUCUCGAGUCCGGGAGAGGUGAGUGGAACUGCGAGUGUAGAGGUGAAAUUCGUAGAUAUUCGCAAGAACACCGGUGGCGAAGGCGGCAUCCUGGACCGGUAUUGACACUGAGGCGCGAAAGCCAGGG
rnacentral:rRNA from 1 species